rnacentral:rRNA from 1 species
ACUCAAAGGAAUAGACGGGGGCCCGCACAAGCGGUGGAGUAUGUGGUUUAAUUCGAAGCAACGCGCAGAACCUUACCUGGGCUUAACAUCCCUAGACAUCCGCAGAGAUGCGGCUUUCCCUUCGGGGACUAGGAGAUAGGUGCUGCAUGGCUGUCGUCAGCUCGUGUCGUAAGAUGUUGGGUUAAGUCCCGCAACGAGCGCAACCCUUGCCCUUAGUUGCCACCAUUAAGUUGGGCACUCUGAGGGGACCGCCGGUGUUAAACCGGAGGAAGGCGGGGAUGACGUCAAGUCCUCAUGGCCCUUACGUCCAGGGCUACACACGUACUACAAUGGCAGAGACAAUGGGUUGCGAAGCCGCGAGGUGAAGCUAAUCCCAAAAACACUGUCUCAGUCCGGAUUGAAGUCUGCAACUCGACUUCAUGAAGCUGGAAUCGCUAGUAAUCGCAGAUCAGCACGCUGCGGUGAAUACGUUCCCGGGCCUUGCACACACCGCCCGU